GGUGGAGCCAGGCUUAGGCCUCAUUUAAGGGCUUACUGCCCUCCUUGGUGGGAGCCUUUUCCUGGUGAGCCCAGAAUCGUCUGGUCUAGGAAUGGAAAAUAUGAGAAAAAGGACUCUAAAUGGUUAUUAAUCUUUUGGCAUCCACAGGUGAAGGAAGUAUUUCCCUAAUUUGAAGCCCUUGGUAUGCAGCACUUGGGAACAGUGUGAAGAAAGAGGGUCUGUACUUGAGACAAACUGCAGCUAGACUCAGUUGCUCGAAGUACCUUCGUUGAACACAGAUCCUCCACAGUGACAAAAGCAUCUGAUAGACAAAUGUCUCCGGACCUGAGGAGGAAGCUUUCCAUCCCCUCUUGCAACUCCACAGCCUUAAUUGUGAAAUGGGAGUAAAUACUGCCAAACAGUGACAACAUUUCCAGCACAACUUUCUUGUUACUUAAUUUGUCUUGCUGCACCUUCAGUAAAAACUAAUUUCUCAGCUGCAUUUUUCCAAGUCCUCUAUGGAGAAGAAAAAAAUGUGGUUUUGAAUAAAGAUCUUGUUAUUAGGAAUUAACUACUCAUUGUAAAAUGGAGAAUUCUUUCUGCUUCUAGUUUUGAUCCAACUUGAUGAACGGUUUAGAGGUUAUGAAGAAAAUGCUACUUCAAGUCCAUCUUGUCAGAAGGAAUAUAAUAAUAGCUAUGUUUAUUGAUGAUUACAUUGUUGAUGAAAUAGGUAUUUUUCAUUCAUGAUUGAGCAUGUUGAAGCCUUAGCUGAAAGCCUUUUAUUUUUUCUUUAAGUAUGGGGAAGGGAACAGAAAAUGGGAGAAAACGAAAGUAGAUUUAGUUUCAGCAAAACCAUAUGCUUAUUAUUACUUUGAGUUUUUCUGCAGGUUGACUAAAAUGAAACUAAGCUGCCUCUUGCUUCCUAAUGUGGUGAGUAAAUCUGCAAAAAAAAAAAAAAAAAGAAGUUUUGGGUAAUGAAUGCACAUGGAAGUGUUAGUGUCAAUCGUUCUUGAGUGAGGUUUCCUCUUUCCAAUUCCCAACAAAAAUAAAGAAGUCUGAUACUCAGUGCUGCUUCUUGGUCUUUUCCAUUAGCUCUGAGUAGGGUAGGAAUUAUAUGGAUUUGACUGCUCUUAAGUAUUCAUCAUUUGUACUUGCUCAUACUUAAGGUAUUUAAUUUAGUUGCAAAACAAUUCUUCUUGAAAUUGUUAUUAUAACAACAACAUAGUUGUCCAAGGGCAUUACUCUGGGGGGAAAAUGAUAGUAAAAUAGCUCUUUUUUGAAGAUGUUGCCAUCCAGAGAAUAUCAUAGGAGUGUUGGUGAGGAAGACUAAUAUCAAAAACUAGGUCGUGACAGACAUCUUGGGGAAUUUCUGUUGGGUUCUGUGUAAUGGGAUAACCAUUUGGCCAUCAUGCAAAAGAAUGUAAAGAGUAUGAACAAAAUGAAGGCAGAAGAGAGUUAAAUGACAAGUGUUUAGAAGAAGAAGACAGCUGUGUGCUGAGAAUGAUGUCAGUGUUGGCUGAUGUGACAACAGAGGAAAAAAAAAUCUAUCCAUUACAGCUGGAUGAAUAAAUUGUCUCAGUGAGAGUAUGAUGCUCCAGACAGUGAAAUGGGCUUCCUGGAUCCUUCUCUGUUGAUGGUCUGAUUCUGACGUACCUACCUGUUGGAGGGCCCAGAGAGCAGCAGGAGCAAGGCUGCUAGGAUGUGAAGGCAACCCUGAGCUGGGGGCAGUUGUAGAGUCUUUCAGUGGCCCAAAGGUGAUGCCCAAGGAGGUGGUCAAGGCACUGUGGCCAGGCACAAGCACAUGCAAGGCACCACUUCAGGCAGGACUGCGGUUCUGACCAAGUCAAAAAUGGUGUCCUUGGGCCUUAAAGGAGUUGGAAGUGAGGCAGGCCAGAGAAACUAAAGCUUUUCAAUACUCCUGGGUCGUACUUUGCAUUAAGAAGUGUAAGAGGCUUAUACCUGAAAAAGUGACCCAUAGAUACCUAGGAUGUUGUCUCACUUUACUCUGUGCAUCUUUCUCCCUCUGCUUUUCCCGUGAUGCUGCCUCAACUGCAAAUGACUUUGAGAAGCCAACUCCAGAAAAUGGUUACGAAUGAAAAAGUACAUGGAGUAUCUGUGGGCCAAAGAUGAAUGUUAUCAUUCCAAGUAAUUUCUGCUACAUGAUAGCUGACUUCUCUGCAGUUUGUCAUGAACAUAAAUAGAUGCAGUAGAUGGUGGUGCUGUAGGUCAGUGAGUCACUGGGCCAUUGAACUGCCAGUAGUUACUUACUCAUACUUGUUUCUUCACUGCUCUUCAGCCUUCUCAGGCACGAAUCAACUGUAACAGCAUUUGAGUAAGCGGAGAGUUUCUGGCUUGACUUUUUUGUUGUUCUUUUUCUGUCAUUUUUUUCCUUCUUUACUUUUCAAAAGAAGGAUCAAGGUAAUUUUCCCCAUCUGUCCUUCCUGCUUAUUUUUUGUGAUGACUAACAAAGCAGACUGAAUAUGGAGGACUAUAAGAAUGCAUUACAGGACUAAUUUGGUUCUAAUAAUCCUGUGCAGUAAGUAUUUGUAUUUUGUGGGUUGGUGAGUAGAAGGUAGCGUUGGCAGGCUAGCAGAGGAAUGCUCUUUCUCAGAAAGUGUGUGUUAUAGGUCUGGGAAUGAGGCGGGGAAGGCAGUUUGCUUAACUUUAGGACUGUGUGUCAGACAGUCCUUCUCUAGGUACAAUUAUGCUUCGAUCUUGCAUCUGGGGAAAACGGUGCAGCACCUCGGACA